UCCUUUUUUUGGCGACGAGUGGCGGACGGGUGAGUAAAGUAUGGGGAUCUGCCGAAUGGAGGGGGACAACUGCUGGAAACGGCAGCUAAUACCGCAUAAAGUUGAGAGACCAAAGCGUGGGACUUUUUAGCCACGCGCCAUUUGAUGAACCCAUAUGGGAUUAGCUUGUUGGUAGGGUAAUGGCUUACCAAGGCGACGAUCUCUAGCUGGUCUGAGAGGAUGACCAGCCACACUGGAACUGAGACACGGUCCAGACUCCUAUGGGAGGCAGCAGUGGGGGAUAUUGCACAAUGGGGGAAACCCUGAUGCAGCCAUGCCGCGUGUAUGAAGAAGGCUUUCGGGUUGUAAAGUACUUUCGGUAAUGAGGAAGGUGUAUUAUCUAACAGGUAAUGCAAUUGACGUUAGUUACAGAAGAAGCACCGGCUAACUCCGUGCCAGCAGCCGCGGUAAUACGGAGGGUGCGAGCGUUAAUCGGAAUAACUGGGCGUAAAGGGCAUGCAGGCGGGUCAUUAAGUUAGGUGUGAAAUCCCCGGGCUCAACCUGGGAACUGCACUUAAAACUGGUGGUCUGGAGUAUUGUAGAGGAAGGUAGAAUUCCACGUGUAGCGGUGAAAUGCGUAGAGAUGUGGAGGAAUACCGGUGGCGAAGGCGGCCUUCUGGACAAAUACUGACGCUGAGAUGCGAAAGCGUGGGGAGCAAACAGGAUUAGAUACCCUGGUAGUCCACGCUGUAAACGAUGUCGAUUUGGGAGUUUGGUGGCAUGACG
rnacentral:rRNA from 1 species